rnacentral:lncRNA from 1 species
GCCGACUUCAGACGGAGUUUAUAGUUAGUGGCCGGUUCUUCUCUCCUUGGUUUGAUUAUUAACUAUUAUGCAUUUUCCACGGUCCAACUCCAUGACCGAUGAGCACCGUCUCGGCCACCAUCUCGCUGUCAAGCACUUAAAUAUCUCCAUAAGUGAAGGCUUCCGGCACCACUCUAUAUUCUCUGGUGAGAGAACCAGCCCUG